AACAAGGCGUACCUGCGGACCUGCGGAAGGAUCAUUACAGAGUUCGUGCCCUCGCGGGUAGAUCUCCCACCCUUGUGUAUUUUCUACAUCUUGUUGCUUUGGCAGGCCGUUGGUUCGCCAACCACCGGCUCGCGGGCUGGUGCGUGCCUGCCAGAGGACCUCUCAAACUCGGUUUGUUAGUGUCGUCUGAGUACCAUAACAAUCGUUAAAACUUUUAACAAUGGAUCUCAGAUCGGAAGA
rnacentral:misc_RNA from 1 species